rnacentral:misc_RNA from 1 species
UUCGAGCGUCAUUACAACCCUCAAGCUCUGCUUGGUAUUGGGUGUCACUGUUUGUGGUGCACCUUAAAAUCAGUGGCGGUGCCAUCUGGCGUCUAGUGUAGUAAAAACUUCUCACUAUGGAGUUUGGAUGUAUGCUUUGCCAUCAACCCAUAAUUUUACAGGUUGACCUCGGAUCAGGUAGGGAUACCCGCUGAACUUAA